CCCAGCUACUUGGGAGGCUGAGGCAGGAGGAUCGCUUGAGCCCAGGAGUUCAAGGCUACAGUGAGCUAUGAUUGUACCACUGUACAGCCAGGAUGACAGAGUGAGACCCUGUCAAAACAACAACAACAACAACAACAACAAGAAAACAGAUAAGAAGACACGGCAUGUUCACUGGUGGAGCCAAGGCAAAGAGGGACCACUGUGCUCAUGGACCCAUCGCUGCCUUCCAAGGACCAUUUCCCAGAGCUACUCAACUUUUAAGCCCCUGCCAUGGUUGCUCCUGGAAGGAGAACCAGCCACCCUGAGGACCACCUGGCCAUGCGUGCACAGCCUGGGAAAAGACAGUUACUCACAGGAGCUGCAGGCCCGUCACCAAGCCCUCUCCCGACCCAGGCUUUGUGGGGCAGGCACCUGGUACCAAGGGUAACCCGGCUCCUGGUAUGGACGGAUGCGCAGGAUUUAGGAUAAGCUGUCACCCAGUCCCCAUAACAAAACCACUGUCCAACACUGGUAUCUGUGUUCUUUUGUGCUAUGAAUUUGGAUUCCUAAUUGCUAUUGUUGGUUGCUGGGGUUUUAAAUGAUUGAUAAGCUUGUACAGUUAACUUAUAGAGGGGGAGCCAUAUUUAACAUUCUGGAUUUCAGAGUAGAGAUUUCUGUGUUGUCUCCUAGAAAGCAUUACAUGUAGUUUAUUUCAGCAUCCUUGUUGGGUGGGGCCCUGGCUCUCUUCCCCUUUGGUGGGACCUCCCCUUUCUUUGGGCUUCAGUUCACUCAGGAAGAAAUGAGGCUGUCGCCAUCUUUAUGUGCUUCCAGUGGAAAUGUCACUUGCUACAGACAAUAGUGCAUGAGAGUCUAGAGAAGUAGUGACCAGAACAGGGCAGAGUAGGUCCCCUCCAUGGCCCUGAAUCCUCCUCUGCUCCAGGGCUGGCCUCUGCAGAGCUGAUUAGACAGU
rnacentral:lncRNA from 1 species